rnacentral:lncRNA from 1 species
GUGGUGUUAUUAGUUUAGCUGGUGGUGUUAUUAGUUUAACUGGUGGUGGUGUUAGUUUAGCUGGUGGUGUUAGUUUAACUGGUGUUAGUUUAGCUGGUGGUGGUGUUAGUUUAGCUGGUGGUGGUGUUAGUUUAACUGCUGGUGGUGUUAGUUUAACUGGUGGUGGUGUUAGUUUAGCUGGUGGUGUUAGUUUUGCUGGUGGUGUUAGUUUAACUGGUGUUAGUUUAGCUGGUGGUGGUGUUAAUUUAACUGGUGUUGGUGUUAGUUUAGCUGUUGGUGGUGUUAGUUUAGCUGGUGGUGGUGGUAGUUUAGCUGGUGGUGUUAGUAUAGCUGGUGGUGGUGUUAGUUUAACUGGUGGUGGUGUUAGUUUAGCUGGUGGUGGUGUUAGUUUAGCUGGUGGUGUUAGUUUAGCUGGUGGUGGUGUUAGUUUAGCUGGUGGUGGUGUUAGUUUAACUGGUGGUGGUGUUAGUUUAACUGGUGGUGUUAGUUUAACUGGUGGUGGUGUUAGUUUAACUGGUGGUGGUGUUAGUUUAACUGGUGGUGGUGGUGUUAGUUUAGCUGGUGGUGGUGUUAGUUUAGCUGGUGGUGGUGUUAGUUUAACUGGUGUUAGUUUAGCUGGUGGUGGUGUUAGUUUAGCUGGUGGUGGUGUUAGCUUAACUGGUGUUAGUUUAGCUGGUGGUGGUGUUAGUUUAGCUGGUGGUGUUAGUUUAACUGGUGGUGGUGUUAGUUUAGCUGGUGGUGUUAGUUUUGCUGGUGGUGCUGGUGGUGGUGUUAGUUUAACUGGUGGUGGUGUUAGUUUAGCUGGUGGUGGUGUUAGUUUAGCUGGUGGUGGUGUUAGUUUAGCUGGUGGUGUUAGUUUAGCUGGUGGUGGUGUUAGUUUAGCUGGUGGUGGUGUUAGUUUAGCUGGUGGUGGUGUUAGUUUAGCUGGUGGUGGUGUUAGUUUAGCUGGUGGUGGUGUUAGUUUAACUGCUGGUGGUGUUAGUUUAGCUGGUGGUGGUGUUAGUUUAGCUGGUGGUGUUAGUUUAGCUGGUGGUGGUGUUAGUUUAGCUGCUGGUGGUGUUAGAUUAACUGGUGGUGGUGUUAGUUUAACUGGUGGUGGUGUUAGUUUAACUGGUGGUGUUAGUUUAGCUGGUGGUGUUAUUAGUUUAGCUGGUGGUGUUAGUUUAACUGGUGGUGGUGUUAGUUUAACUGGUGGUGGUGUUAGUUUAGCUGGUGGUGGUGUUAGUUUAACUGGUGGUGGUGUUAGUUUAGCUGGU